rnacentral:rRNA from 1 species
GAUGAACGCUGGCGGCGUGCCUAAUACAUGCAAGUCGAGCGAACGGAUGAGAAGCUUGCUUCUCUGAUGUUAGCGGCGGACGGGUGAGUAACACGUGGAUAACCUACCUAUAAGACUGGGAUAACUUCGGGAAACCGGAGCUAAUACCGGAUAAUAUUUUGAACCGCAUGGUUCAAAAGUGAAAGACGGUCUUGCUGUCACUUAUAGAUGGAUCCGCGCUGCAUUAGCUAGUUGGUAAGGUAACGGCUUACCAAGGCAACGAUGCAUAGCCGACCUGAGAGGGUGAUCGGCCACACUGGAACUGAGACACGGUCCAGACUCCUACGGGAGGCAGCAGUAGGGAAUCUUCCGCAAUGGGCGAAAGCCUGACGGAGCAACGCCGCGUGAGUGAUGAAGGUCUUCGGAUCGUAAAACUCUGUAAUUAGGGAAGAACAUAUGUGUAAGUAACUGUGCACAUCUUGACGGUACCUAAUCAGAAAGCCACGGCUAACUACGUG